UACGUAGGGUCCGAGCGUUGUCCGGAAUUACUGGGCGUAAAGCGCGUGUAGGCGGCUCGGUAAGUCUGCUGUGAAAGUCCAGGGCUCAACCCUGGGAUGCCGGUGGAUACUGUCGAGCUCGAGUCCGGAAGAGGCGAGUGGAAUUCCUGGUGUAGCGGUGAAAUGCGCAGAUAUCAGGAGGAACACCGAUGGCGAAGGCAGCUCGCUGGGACGUGACUGACGCUGAGACGCGAAAGCGUGGGGAGCAAACAGG
rnacentral:rRNA from 1 species